UAAUAAUGAAUGAUUAUUAAAGUUGAAAGAUAUAAAUAAUUAACUGAUAACAAUAUUUAAAAUUAAUAUAAAUAAUAAAUAAAUUUUCAUAAUCAUA
rnacentral:miRNA from 1 species